GUGAAUCAUCAAAUUUUUGAACGCAAAUUGCACUAUCUGGUAUUCCGGAAAGUAUGCCAGGGUGGGGGUCGGUUAAAUAAAAAUCGGUGUUGGUGCUGCAUUUCGUGGUGACGCGUUGGACUUGAGUCGUCUUACGUUUGGUUAAGUGACUUAAAAUUUUUGCAUGAUCUUCGAACGUAUAUAAAUCGCUUAUGUACGAUUGAUAUAUCGUAUGCUUCUUAGGUCUGGUCAUUGCCA
rnacentral:misc_RNA from 1 species